rnacentral:lncRNA from 1 species
GUGUUAGUGAAAGACCUUGCGCCAUAAGGUGAGUCUAAGCUCUUACUCUCACUACGCUAUCUAACAAAGGCACAAUUGAUAGGGUUUAGCUUGCGGUGUCGGCAUCACCUGCCCAAGGACCUAUCUCUUUGUUAAUGCUGGAUCGUGUCUUUCCAUUAGGCCAAUCAACUAAGUUGAUAUCCAUCAACGAAGGGUGGUUCGAUAGUAGACUCAUUAUCUCACGUCCUCAUGUACACUAGUGUAAUACUUGUAGAGAUCUCUAUAUGGAUUGGAUUUGACAUUGAGGCGUCCCCCAACGAUAAUCACAAUUCAGACUUCAUGAGACGGAUUUGAGUAUCACUGAUCAAUGGAUCAGGUUGUGCCAAGCUCGCUUUCUUUCUAGUGCAAGACAAUAUCGAACCUAAGGGCCUCCCUCCUUUUAGGGAGCCACACGGCCUUGUGACACCAAUUUUGCCACUAUAUGGCGUCACCAUAUCACCAUCCAUGGUGAUGGCGUCAAGACCAACACUUUUUGGUCGCGCCAUGUCCUUUUGUAAGACAUCAAUCCUUGCAGACAUAUUUGCAGCAUGUGAUCUCGUCACUUUAACACUAUAAGCAUUUGGGAUCAAGAUGAGACUUAGUGGGGACAAACCACGACAAUUCACGUCGUUCCACUUGAACACUUGUGUUCUUAUCUCCCCCUAACGGCGGGAAUAUUGUCUCAUCAAAGUGACAAUCCGCAAUUUAGCGGUGAAUGAGAUUGCCUGACAAGGUUCCUACAUAUGCGGAUUAUAGGUGGAGGUUCAUAUCCAACCUAAACUUAUUCAACUCAAAUGACCCAUCAUUGUACGCAGUGGCAAUGCGAUUUGGCACCUAGAAAUGACAUCUAGCCGAGCUCAAGGAUUGGAGAUCCAUUUCAAUCCUGCCGAGCUUAAGGAUUGCAAUUUCGUGUCAAUCCUGGUACACAGUCACGAGCUGUAGUACAACAAAAUUCAAUAAUGGUGGGUCGUAGAUGAAUAGUAAAGCUGCAUACAAAUAUUGCAUAGCCCCAAGACGCAAUAGAAAAAGUGGUGCGCAUCAAUAAUGUUCGAGCGACAAGCUAAAGUUGCUUGGUCGUAGCCUCGGUGAGACCGUAUUGCGUGUGAACAUGGGGUACAGGACACUUCAACUUACAUCCUGAUGAACUUCUUUAAAGAAUGGGUAGUAAGCCCGUAGAAGUAUAAGCAGUAUAAGCAGUAGAUAAUAGUGUAACACGUGACCAGUGUGUUAACACGUCAACCAACACCAUAAAGCAUGAAAAG